CAUCAUAGCCAUAUCUCCCUGCAGCUCUCACCUGGUUUCAGACUGAAGCUAAGCAGGGUUGAGUCUGGCCAGUACAUGGAUGGGAGAUCUCCUGGGGAAAACUAAGGUUGCUGCUGC
rnacentral:rRNA from 1 species